AGAGUUUGAUCAUGGCUCAGGAUGAACGCUAGCUACAGGCUUAACACAUGCAAGUCGAGGGGAAACGACAUCGAAAGCUUGCUUUUGAUGGGCGUCGACCGGCGCACGGGUGAGUAACGCGUAUCCAACCUGCCCAUCACUUGGGGAUAACCUUGCGAAAGUAAGACUAAUACCCAAUGACGUCUCUAGAAGACAUCUGAAAGAGAUUAAGAUUUAUCGGUGAUGGAUGGGGAUGCGUCUGAUUAGCUUGUUGGCGGGGUAACGGCCCACAAGGCGACGAUCAGUAGGGGUUCUGGAGACGGAAGGUCCCCCANAUUGGAACUGAGACACGGUCCAAACUCCUACGGGAGGCA
rnacentral:rRNA from 1 species